rnacentral:rRNA from 1 species
AGCGAACGCUGGCGGCAGGCUUAACACAUGCAAGUCGAGCGGGCAUCUUCGGAUGUCAGCGGCAGACGGGUGAGUAACACGUGGGAACGUACCCUUCGGUUCGGAACAACUCUGGGAAACUGGAGCUAAUACCGGAUACGCCCUUAUGGGGAAAGGUUUACUGCCGAAGGAUCGGCCCGCGUCUGAUUAGCUAGUUGGUGGGGUAAUGGCCUACCAAGGCGACGAUCAGUAGCUGGUCUGAGAGGAUGAUCAGCCACACUGGGACUGAGACACGGCCCAGACUCCUACGGGAGGAAGCAGUGGGGAAUAUUGGACAAUGGGCGCAAGCCUGAUCCAGCCAUGCCGCGUGAGUGAUGAAGGCCUUAGGGUUGUAAAGCUCUUUUGUCCGGGACGAUAAUGACGGUACCGGAAGAAUAAGCCCCGGCUAACUUCGUG